UACGGAGGGGGCUAGCGUUGUUCGGAAUUACUGGGCGUAAAGCGCACGUAGGCGGCUUUGUAAGUUAGAGGUGAAAGCCCAGGGCUCAACCCUGGAAUUGCCUUUAAGACUGCAUCGCUAGAACAUCGGAGAGGUAAGUGGAAUUCCGAGUGUAGAGGUGAAAUUCGUAGAUAUUCGGAAGAACACCAGUGGCGAAGGCGACUUACUGGACGAUUGUUGACGCUGAGGUGCGAAAGCGUGGGGAGCAAACAGG
rnacentral:rRNA from 1 species